rnacentral:tmRNA from 1 species
GGGGAUGAUUGGUUUCGACGGGAGAGGCUGGUCACGAAUUGCAAGCCGAGAGGUACCGAUCUCGUAAAAUCAGUACACACUAUUAAGUGCCAAUCGCACUCAAUACGCCGCAUUACCUUUAGCUGCCUAGUGUAGUUACUGGCUAAUGUAGCCAAAUGACCCCUCGUGGGUCACGUCUCCCUACUCCCUUCCCUGGUGGGAGGAGGUGCAGGCGAAACAAGACUAGGGUGCUGUACGGGACUACUGCUAAACGUACUCAAGAUGAACUUUCGGGUUCUAGCAGUCAGCCGUUUGAGGCUUGGGUCCCUUGUAGCCCAAAACGGUUAAACAAACAAGAGACUACGCUUGUAGACGUUCGUUGACUUAAUCUUUCGGACGCGGGUUCGAUUCCCGCCAUCUCCACCU